CCUUUUACACAUCUCCAUCGUCACCAUCCCGAUUAUCAUCCCUCUCAUCUCCGAUUCUCAAUAUUAGCACCUUCACCACAAUAACAACAACUACAACACCAACAUCACCGUCAGCCCUACCAACAGCAGUUCUCAUAAAUAUUCACCUACACACACACACACACAUACACACACUCACCAUAUAUAUAACUUCUUUCUUUCUUUUAUCAUUCCCCCCCCCCACUUUUUUUUUUGCUAUUUGAGAAACGAGGAAAAACAGCAAUUAAUUAGCAAAACUUCAAUCUUGCUCCUAAAUUUACAUAUGUGGGCAUCCGUGUGUGUGUGUGUGUGUGUGUGUGUGUGUGUUUAUUUAUAGUUGAAGUUUUGUCUCGAGUCUCAAGACGGUUGGAGGUGUCCCGCGUUUCGGAGGGGUAUAAGCUACUAAUAGUGCAAACCAGACAGGAUGCCAACUGUUUCGUAAUGUCCACUCUAGCUACCACUUUGACUCGACUUGACCAUUCUAGAAUGAAGUGUCUUCCUCGAGGACACAACAACCACCCUGUGAUCGAACUAAGAAUCUUACCAUUGUCAGCUUAAUACUCUAACUAUUUCACAAAUACACACACCGUUAUAUGAUACGGGCACACAUGUACGUAAACUCAUACUUACAUAUUACGUUUUCUCUCUUUUACUUGUUUCAGUCAUUUGACUGCGGCCAUGCUGGAGCACCGCCUUCAGUCGAGCAAAUCGACCUCGGGGACUUAUUCUUUGUAAGCCUUAUUCUGUCGGUCUCUUUUUGCCGAACCGCUAAGUUACGGUGACGUAAACACACCAGCAUCGGUUGUCAAGCAAUGCUAGGGGGACAAACACAGACACACAAACACACACACGCAUACAUAUAUGUAUAUACAUAUAUACGACAGGCUUCUUUCAGUUUCCGUUUACCAAAUCCACUCACAAGGCAGUGGGACUGAACCCGGAACCAUGUGGUUGGUUAGCAAGCUACUUACCACACGGCCACUCCUACGCCUAUGUAUACAUAUACAUACAAACAUUUAUAUAUUUACAAGCAUUUAUAUAAUAUAUAAAUACGCGCGCACACACACACACACACACACACACACACACACAAACAUACAGAAUCUAUAAACGCAUGGAUUCCUCAGUUUUACCUCUCUCUUCUCUCAUACCUGCAGACUUUUCAUCGCAAAACAAUACGAGAUACAAACUGAUUCCACGUGGGAAUGUAAUAUAAUAGGAUAUAUCUACUACUACUACUACUACUACUACUACUACUACUACUACCAUACAGUUUUCUGUGCUUUUCAACUGUUCUUCAGUUUACAAUCGUUGUUUUCGAAAUAUAUUGUAAUGCAAGAUCGAAGUUGUGCGUAAAAAUCAAUACAAUAUUCAAUAUCCGCUGAUGCGACACACCACAUGGUUCUGCCGUAAACUUCAACACACGCUCGCACGCACACACACACACACACACACAUGCGCGCACUCACUCGCGCACAGACACACACCUUUGUCUACAUCCACCUGCCUAUAAUAUUGAUUACGAUGAGCUGCCUACUGCAACAGAGCUCUGCUAAAGGAAUACGUUACUUUGUAACCUAACCUGCUAAAAAUAGCAGCCAAAUAUUCUUCAAAUCACACCUUAUUUUAUUAAAAAGGAAAAAAAACUUUCGAGAAUGUAGACUAAUACCGAAAGAUUAUUUUUUUUUUCUUUUUGUAUUAAGACUACAUUUUUUUAUAUAAAGAAGAUUGACCUUAGAAGUUAAUAAAAGUUAUUAACCUGCAGGAGAAUUACUAUUAUUUUGUAUUAAGGCCUUCAAAUGUUCAUACAGUUUAGGGAGAGCGAGAAAAACUAUUUAAUCAAAUGGCAGUUAUAUGACUUCUAUUAAUCUUGGGAGUAUUGAUUUGCGGAGAGAAUACCAGGAACCUAUAAAUAUAACUUACAAUCGAAAGGGACACAAUGAACACCGGAAGUAAUUUUGUAGAAUUUCUAUAAUGCUUUCUUUUAUCUGCCACAAUAGCACACACACGUAGACAGGUAAAUACACCCCCCCCACACACACACGGAGACAGAUAAAUACACCCCCACACACACACAAAUGCACACACAUGCACACACUUUCUCUAAAAUACAUACACAUAUAACCAAAGUAACAAACAUAAAAACAUCAAAAUUUUAAUAACAAUUAAAAUAAUACUGAUAUCUAUUUGAAAUCUAUUUUGGAGGCAGUGUUAUGUUUGAUUCUUUCGCUUAAAGAACUUGAAAGUACUUGAUCGACCCCACGAAUCGAUGAAAAAUAAAGUUGAACCAGACAGUAUUUGAACUCUUUACGUAAAGUUUACAGUUCGCAGGGCCAUAAAGCAUUUUCUACGAUGCGCUACCAAUACUAUCUACACACACACACACAGGCACAAUGACAAACCGAAACAUGUGUGAAUUUCAGGUUUUCAAGUGGGAAAACUAUUUUUGAUAAUCUUUAACGGAGAAAAGGUAACAGCAAGUUGGCCGACAAUGGAAGAACGAGGAGAUAUCGUUGGUUCAACAGUGAAGAGCUCCUUUAGAAAGGAAAUGUGUUACCAAAGAAAAAUACCCUUAUGAAGACAAAUAAAUGAGCCAACGAGAGCCUUUCUAUUUAACUGGUCCAUUUGAUAGAUGUUCCAUCUAAAAUUCCCUCAAGAAAGGGCGGCAGAAGCGUUUUAUGACAGUGAAAGACGCAGUUCUAAAUACACUGUUUUUUUUUUAAUAAAGACACGCGCGAUAGUCCCAUAUUGAACUCAUUAGGCGCUAGGUCUGUUCAAUAAGGAUAUUUGACCUGUGGCUAUAUACAAACAACAACAACGACAGCAAUGUGAAAGGAAGAUUUUAAAAAGAGAUGCCCCCCACCACCUCAAAAGUGAAGGAUAUCGAAGGUAAGUCGAUCGAUUUGUAAUUUUGAUUUGAAAUCUAUCUUAUUGAAAAAAAUUAAAUUGAAUUUUCAAUUCAACGUUCUGAUAAAAUUAUUGCUUCUUUUUAAGUUGGUGUUGAUAAUUAUUUUACUACUAUUUAGGGAGGAAAACAAAAUAAUUUUAAGUUCAUUUACACAGCAAAACGUAGGCGCACACACAGACACACACACACAUAUGCACAAGACAUCUUAAAAAAGAAUGGAGAAUUGAACAUCUGAAAAAAGUUUUGAAAAUGUUUGAUUCUGCAUUCUUCUUUAUAACGUGUUGGUUCCAUAAUCUGUCUGCUGUAUAAAAUGCAUUGACGCGAACUCAGGAUUUGCCUGUCAACUAAAAUUCUACGUAAUUGCUUAUCUUAAGCAAUUCUGUAUGUUCCCUAUUGUUCGGUAUGGUUAGCCUGAUCUGGAUUAUAUCAGAGUGCUAAUAAGGUACCUGCCCAGAUUCAAAAUUCCUCUUCCUUUACACACACACACACAAAUAUGAUGGCAAUCAGUAUGAGGAUGAGAAUUGCACAUUAAUGAGACAGAAAAGGGAGAUGAAAUCUUAGCUCAGCUGAUGGCUAACAGCUUCUUUUACCAAAACUGUUACAACUAUGUCUCCUCUCAGUUAAACGAAAUACAAAUCCUGUUCGUAGAAAUGAGUCUUAUGAGUCGACCAAUCGAAUAGUGACAGUCAUUUCAUGAUUUCGAGUAGCGAUGUUCUGUGAUUAGAUUUGGUUCCGUUGAGGUCAGCUUCAGAAUAACAUUCCUUUGCAAGUUAAAAACAUGACGGGUUACCACAACUUGCAUUUCGACUCCAUGAUGUUUAUUGAAUGCAAUUGUCUUGAAAAUGCUUUGAAGCAUUGACUAUGUUUUCUUCUCUAAAAUGUCCAUUCAAUUGUAUUUGCCGGCAAAAAUCUACAUAAGUGGUUCUUCUCAACUGGGGUCCAAACAUUUGGUAAAUCACAGAAGAUAUUUUACUCUUUUACUUGUUUCAGUCAUUUGACUAUGGCCAUGCUGGAGCACCGCCUUUAGUCGAGCAAAUCGACCUCGGGACUUAUUCUUUGUAAGCCUAGUACUUAUUCUAUCGGUCUCUUUUUGCCGAACCGCUAAGUUACGGGGACGUAAACACACCAGCAAUAGUUGUCAAGCAAUGUUGGGGGAACAAACACAGACGCACAAACGUAUACACACACACAUACAUAUAUAUGUAUACAUAUAUACGACGGGCUUCUUUCAGUUUCCGUCUACCAAUCCACUCACAAGGCUUUGGUCGGCCCGAGGCUAUAGUAGAAGACACUUGCCCAAGGUGCCACUAAGUAGGACUGAACCCAGAACCAUGUGGUUAGUAAGCAUGCUACUUACCACAGAACCACUCCUACACCUACGAGCAAUAAAUGGGUUAUAUUUCUACAACACAAUAUUUUGACAAUUAGUUUUAAACAAUACGUAAUUAUAAUCGAAUUAUAAAAUACGAUAGGAUGUUUCUAAACAUCGAAAUGUUUUGAGGAUUCCGUCGAAUAAAAGAGGAACCAAAAACGGAUGAGGACCACUGGUCCGCAUCAGUGACUCAUUUCUCAGGUGAGAUUUAAUCUAUUUGUAUUAUCUUACCUUUGACUUUUUAGAGACGUCUCUUCCCUAGAACAAGAUAUAUGUGAGUUAGGGAGUGCGCGCGUGCGUAUUUAAUUGCAGUUUGACUAUGCAGUCCAUGACUUAAAGUUUCGUGGGUGCGUAGAACACGUCCAUCUCAUCAGAUGCUAGGAACAUCUGCUGUCGGAUCAGAUGCGCCCCGUAUCUGAUGAGGUGAACGUGUUCUGCGCAGCCACGAAACUUUAAGUCAUGUGGAAAAUAGUCAGACUAUUAUAAAAGUAUAUGUAACUCUUACCAGAUGUUUUGGGUACUCAUUAUCAUCAAGUUCUCUAAAUUGCUGAAGCCGGUCAUUAAGGUGUCAUUCUAGACGCUUUUAUAGUCAGUCAUUGCUCUGGUCUCUGUUUUCAGUCAUGCGCAACAGGGGUGAGGUAUUCUGACCUGCCCGAUCCUCGAUAUUGUCAGGACAGGAUUUUCUUUGUCUGCAUUUAUUUCGCCCUCAUUCCACUGUGUCCGGAAACAUGGUUGUGGAUGGGUGAGUUGUGGCGAGGUAUGUGAGCAUGCCGGGCAAGCUUUCGACAUUUUACCUGCGGAAGGAACGGUUCCUCUCAGCCAGAGUAUUUACUGACUUUGUGCUUCACAAACCUGUUCGUUUUGUGCUCCGUGUACGUGAUGCGUAACAGCCUUCUGAGGCACUUCAGCUCCAGUUCUUCCUUCAAUAUCAACUAUAAGAGUUUUCAGACCCAUACAACUGGAUCGAAGUCAUCAGAGACUUUUAAACUUUGAGUCUCACUGAAAAACUAAUAGAGCUGCUUUUCCAUAUGGUGUUCAGCUUCAUCAGUGCAGCAGGGACCAAAAUGAGUUUUUGAGAUAACUUCUUACGAGAUUUGUGUCCUUGGUCAUAGUGCCACGUUAGAUUUAUAUAUAUAGCGUGAGAGAGAGAGAGAGAGAGAGAGAGAGAGAGCGGGAGAGUAAGUAAAUAAGUAAAUGAGUGGAAAUUGUACCGGAGAGUGUGUUAAAUUAUAAGGCACUGAAAGAGAAUGACUCUUCCCAGACACAACAGUAUAUAUAUAUAUAUAUAUAUAUAUAUAUAUACAGAGAGAGAGAGAGAGAGAGAGAGAAAUAAAGAAGAUAGAUAGAUAGAUAGAUAGAUAGAUAGAUAGAUAGAUAGAUAGAUAGAUAGAUAGAUAGAUAGAUCGAAAAAUAUUCACCAGAUAAACAUAUACGUACAAGGAUAUAGAGAGACACAAAUAUAUUCUUAUAUGGAGCAUAAAAACACAGAAUACUAAUGAAAGAAUGCAUAGCUUUUAAGUUCGACAACUCGUUGUGGAAACCCGGAAUUACGUUAUAAUGGUAAUGUCUAUAAUAAACAGAUGGCAUAUGCGCAAACUCAGUAAAUAAAUAUUACCUUUGCUAAUUAUGAACAUUACUAUUAUUACGUAAGUCUGAGUUUCCAGAAACAGCUGGCGGAUUAGAAAGCUAUGCAUACUCUCCUGGGCAUUAUGCAUUUUUAAAUACUCUGUGUAAAUUUAUUUGUCCAUAUAUAUAUAUAUAUAUAUAUAUAUAUAUAUGGACAAAUAUAUAUGAAAAUUAUGUAUUAAUGGAAAACGUCUAUAAAUGGCUGAUGAUUGCUCAACAUUUUAAAACUGUUGUAAUACUUACAAUAUUUAAUAAAAUGAUGUAGCGUUAAACGAUCGUAUCAAAUUACCGGAGAUAUUCUUGCUGCUUAUUUUGAUUAUAAUCACCCCAGGGAUUUAUAUGGAUAACACCAUACAAAAUCCUGGUGCAUCUAACUUAAGAACCAUAUUCAUUUGAAUCUAAACUUUGCUGAACUUAUAUAUAUAUAUAUAUGAAUAUGCAUAUCCAUGUACAUAUGUAUUUAAUUUCUGAAUAUUUGUGGUUAUAUGUAUGUAUGUAUGUAUUUCUCUCUCUCUCUCUCUCUCUCUCUCUCUUUGUUUCUUUCUCUGUUGUAUAUAGAUAUAAUGGAUACAUCGAAACCGGUUAUACUAUAAAUAAUACUCUGUAACAAAAGAAAAAAAUCCAACAUUUUCUAAAAUACAGUUCUAUGCCUUUUCCAAUUUUUUUUUUCUUGAUCAUCAUAUAUACUAGCAGAAAAACCGCCCUCUGCGCGGUUUUCUGCUAGCCCCUUGAUAAUAUUUUCCCAUUUGAUACCCAUUUCUAAUAAUUUUAUGAUAUUCUACGUUUAAUUAUUUCUUCACAUAAUAGUGCUGACUUGCUUAGUAAAUAUUGCUUUGAUUAUUUUAUCACAGUCACAAUUUCUCUUUUUUAAUCAAACAUCACGGUAGUCCAAAAACAGAGGGAGUUUGUCAAGUGUUACCGUCUCCUCAAAUCAAGAUAGAUAUUUGAAAUCAGCAGCUCAUCUGUAAGAUUUGCAGUGUAUGUGUGUGUGUGUGUGUGUGAGACAGAGAGAGACAGACAGAUAGACAGACAGACAGACAGAGAGAAAGUGUGGGGAGGGAACAUUGCAAACAAUGAUUGAAAUAAACAUGAAAUGAAAAAAUCGUAUAAGUAAAAAGGCAUUACUAAAGAUGUAUAUCCCACUGACUUUGUUGCCUCAUUACAUCCAGAAAAAUGGAUACUUUUUAACAAAAGUCUUCUGCUAAUACCGCUCAGAUGUUGUGGUUUCAGAGUAUUUAGGGAUUUAUGGGAAAGGAUUUUUUCUGAGGGGGUGGAGAAAAGAGUUUCAGAAAAUUCACAUGAUCUGACUUUUUCCCCUCAUUACUUUCAGGAAGAUGGGUAUCUUUUAAUGAAAAUUUAUACAAAUCCUUUUCAAACGGCAUAGAUUACGAUUAUAAAGAAAUUUAUGGGAAAAUUUUUUUCACGAAUUUUCCCCAUUUUUUAAACGACAGAGUUGGAAAUGAUUGGGCUCGGUGGGGGUCAUCUUUGUAUGAAAAAUGUUUCGAAGACUCUUCUUUUUUAAAUACCCCGCUCCCUUAUCAUCCCACUCUGAACCCAUUCGGGCCAAUUUUUUUUGCACUUCAAAACCAUGAGAAGAGCAUUUUCGGUAAGUUUUUUUUUAAAUUGUUAAUAUUUUCAGAGGGAUUAGGCUGUUGUUUCUAGCACAUCAAAAGACAACCCUCUUCGUUUCUUUAGCACUCUCCCAUGUAUUGAUGUCUUUCAAUAUUUCUUCCCCAUAAAUAUAUUUAUAUACUAUAAAAGAGAAAAUUUGAUAAUUUAUCUUAGUCUCUCACGAAAAUAAUUUGGACAGAAUAUUUGUGCCAGAUAUCAACGCAUUGUAUGUAACAUUCUCAAAGUUGCUAAAUUUCCAAUAGUUUCUCAAUUCUCUUCAUUCCGUUGGUUCCGUUCUCCCUGAAACUGUAAGAGACUCUUUCAUUUUGCCACGAAAUUUAGAUGCGUCAAAUCUUUGUCAAGCUACAAUAGAAGCUGUCAAAACUAUUGUAUUUCAUGCGAUCAAAGUCACCAUUGUGUGCCACUACCUGAGCCAGGUGAGAAGACGUCUUCAUCUCACACUUUGCAGAGAUGCCAUUUCGGUUCAAUAAACCCUUACAAGAAUUCUGUGACAAACAGUAAAUUUCAAGGACGCUCUAUGAAGGUCGUUCUUGGUCAGAGGUUCUCAACCAUAUUUGGCCCUUUGGACUCCUUUAACUCCUACUGUACUCUUGCUGGCCUCCAUAGCCAUAUAAAAAGUUACUCUAUAUUUUUACAAUCAAAUAUUAUUAUGAAUUGUAUAAAAAUAUCUUAAAAUAUCUUGUGUGUUAUAGAAAUAUAACCAGUUUAUUGCAGAUAAAUUUUAACAACAAAAUCUUGUGUGGACCCCCAAGGGCCAUAUAGACCCCAAUUCAGGACCACUGUUCUAUUUUAAAUUGGUUUUUCUCUUAUGAUUAACUCUGUUAUUUGCACAGGCGUUGGGUCAAGAAGCUCUCUACGCACACUACGAUGAGACACUUUGGCCCAGCAUUUGUGGCGUAACUCAUUCGACGCUCACUUAUUUGAUUAUUUAAUGUUUCCCUCUCUUUCUCUUUCUCUCUCUCUCUCUCUCUCUCUCUCUCUCUGAAUCUCUCUGCCACUCUGUCUCUGUCUGUUUGUCUGUUUGUCUCUAUGUGUGUGAGCUCCUGGUAAUGCUUGUAUGUAUGUGCCAACUUUUCCUUCUCUCUCUCUCUCUCUCUCUUUCUUUCUUUCUCUCCACUGUAUAUGUACGUGUCACACAUACGUGUGUGUGUUUGUUUGUUUGUGUUUUCCUCCAGUAUCGAAAGGCACUUGUGGUCAAAACAUACUGAAUGGCUAAUCAACCGCGCAUCAAAGUCGUCAGCGUUAACCAGACGCACCCGACCGUCUCAUUCCGAGAAAAAUACCGUCAACCUAAGAACUUUUAGAGAACGCAAUACAUUUAUGUCAGAAUUGCUUCUAUCCCAUGCUGCAUGUCAAUUUAGAAUUUCAAAACAAUACACGAAAUUAAACACAAUAUAGUAUUUUUUUAAAUCACUAAAUUAAAAUUAUCAAUAAACACAAUCUCGGGUGAAAUAUCUAAAAGAUUGAUGGAGGUUUCUGAUAUGAGAAAGGUGAAACGCUUUCAGAAAGGAAGUGCAAAGUGAUGAGUUGAUCGCAGAAGGAGGACAAGGCGUUGAUACAAUCAUCUUUAUAUAUUGACCGUAUAGCUCUGCUGGGUUGUUAAGAUUUGUGGAGGCGCAAUGGCUUAGUGGUUAGGGCAGCGGACUCGCGGUCAUAGGAUCGCGGUUUCGAUUCCCAGACUGGGCGUUGUGAGUGUUUAUUGAGCGAAAACACCUAAAAAGCUCCACGAGGCUCCGGCUGUACUGUUUCACCACAACUUUCUCUCACUCUUACUUCCUGUUUCUGUUGUACCUGUAUUUCAAAGGGCCGGCCUUGUCACUCUCUGUGUCACGCUGAAUAUCCCCGAGAACUACGUUAAGGGUACACGUGUCUGUGGAGUGUUCAGCCACUUACACGUUAAUUUCACGAGCAGGCUGUUCCGUUGGUCGGAUCAACCGGAACCCUCAUCGUCGUAACCGACGGAGUGCUUCCAAAAUGUGUGUCUGUGUAUGUAUGUUAGUAUGUAUUUGUGUGUUUAUAUUAAGAGGGAUUUGUGAAGACGUGUAUCAAUAGGAGUGGGAGCUGGAAAUGUUAAAUAGAGACAAAGUUUGUCAUAACACUUCUUAUGAACCAAUAACCUGUUGUAGCAGCUUUUAGUUUUCCUGCAACUCCGUUCUUGACCCGUUUGUGUUUCACCGCCACGGACCUCGGACCUUCGAUGCUUUCUUUCUUUUUGUCCAUACAUUACUUUCGGUUUCAUUUUCUAAUAAAUUUGCUGAAGAUCGCUUGAGAAUUUACGACAUUGUCUGAAAACAAACAAAGAAACAUCAACGUUUAUAGACUUAGGAAAUGUAUUAUGAGGGAAAUAAAUUAAUAAUGCUGAUAACAAUGAAUAUUUGAUAAAUACAAAGAAUAAAAAAAUGAAACCGAUGAAAAUUGCGAAUGUCUGAUUUAGUAAAAAUUGUUGGCCAAAUUUCAACAACUGGAAAUAAUAAAAGGUAAAAGAUAUUAAAUUUUGAAGCUUUUUGGCGAUUUUCGAUUUUCUUAGUUUUUAGAACAAAAUAGUUUGAACAUUUUAAUGAUUUUUAUGCAGUAACUAGUAAAGAAUUAAGUAUUAAAAAUGCGUAUUAGAUUAGAAAUGAGAAUGAGGGGGGAGAAAGAGAGAGAGAGAAAAGAAAAGAGCGUGGAAGAGAGAAUAAGGAAGGAGAGUAUUAACCGUCUGUAUUAAAUAGGGAGGCUUUGGGAAGGUCAGUUACAGGAUAAUUGGUUUGUAGGGACACAUUGAUGUGCGUAGGGUAUCAGGAUUCUCUUGUUGAUUUUGACUGAUGAGGGCCCAUAAUCCUUAAUUAUUAGAUUUAGUCGCAUAGAUGAGGUGUCUUCAGUGGUGAAGGUUUGUGUAGUAACAGCAAUAUAUUUAUUGAAAACGCUGAUGGCAUAAAACUUAUGCAAAUAUUUUCCCGAAACUUAAUAAACAACAUACCUUAAAUCUUUUCAAUGAGGUUUUCACUAUCUCUCGGCUAAGUAGAUUUGUCACGCGUUAGAGUCAACCCACAUUGCCAUGUUAAAUCCGUACCUUUCUCUGCAUGCAAGCACACACACACAUACACACAGAGGUAGAUAGAUAGAUAGAUAGAUAGAUAGAUAGAUAGAUAGAUAGAUAGAUAGAUAGAUAGAUAGAUAGAUAGAUAGAUAGAUAGAUAGAUAGAUAGGUAGAUAGAUAGAUAGAUAGGUAGGUAGAUAGAUAGGUAGGUAGAUAGAUAGAAACGACGGACUUCUUUCAGUUUCCGUCCACCAAACCCAUUCACAAGGCCUUGCCCGGAGCGAGGUUACAGCAUAAGACACUUGUGCAAGGUGACAUACAGUGGGAGUGAACUCAGAGCCAUGGGUCUACGAAGCAGACUGCUUACCACGCAGCCACCACGUUCAGUCUCCAUGUAUCGCCCAAAGCAAUAUCAAGUGUACAUUAUAUUUAAACCUGUAUUAAAACUUGGCCACAUUUUGUCUCGUUCGUUGCUGGUUUCCCAUGCUUCAAUUAUUCGUUUGCUGUAAUCCUGUAAACUCAAGGAUUUCAUGUCGACAUGGCGUUUUUGCCUCUCCGGGAUUUGAUUUUGUUUGUCUUCAAACUCGACCAUUCACAUCAACCUUUUGUUCCUAAAAAAGGCUUAUGAUGCGUGAUUCUGCUGUCAACCAAUGACCGAUUUCAGCUUUUAAUUCUUGGUUUAUUGUCACUUUUGACCAGUCACGAUCUGUUUUAACGUUUGGCGAUAAUGUGAAAAUUAAAAUCUGAAAUAUACUUUUACUGAUCAAAUGCAAAAAUGGUGAAAAAUGCGUCUCUUAAACGGAAGGAGUUCUCAUUCUGGGAAUGCGUUCACGUUAUUUGUUGUUUUCUUCCUUUUGUAUUUGUCUACAUUCACAGUAAUACACAAAGAACGUUCAUCACGUAAUUCACCAUUUAUGAUACACCAAGGAACUUUAAUACUGAACUCUGAAAUUUCUCUAAAGCCACAAAAUCAUUUUCCAAUUAUUUAUCGAAGAAUUUUCCGCAUUUCACUGUUAUUUGAAUAAAUUUCUCUGACAAAAUGUUUUAAAGAAAUUUCUGAAUGCAAGAAGCGGAUUUUGCUAAUCUUUUCCAGAAUUCCAAUUUAAUAAAACAUCUUAUUUCUAUUGAAAAGAAUUUUCCGAUUCAUAUCUGUAUUCGAAUAAUUUUUCGACUCUUGUAUCACCUUUUUUCUCAAACGUGUUAAAUGCUUCGAAAUGCUCAAAAAAUAUGUUUUCAAAUUCCGUGACUUAUUAGCUUUCGCCUGCAUUAUUUAGUUGGACAAAGAUUACGGCUAAAUAUAUUUGAUACAGUUCGUCAUACAUACAUACAUACAUACAUACAUACAUACAUACAUACAUACAUACAUACAUAUGUGUGUUUGUGUGUAUGCAUAUAUACCAAUGUGAGUGCAUAGACACGUACACACAUACGUACUCGCACAGAUAGACACACAAACACACACACACAUACACAUAUAUAUAUUUCAUUUCCUAUGUACGCUUCGCUGUUGCGAUUGUUGCUGUUGUUUGUAACGUCUGGAUGUUCACAGGGCAAGUGUAUGUCUAACCACAACGGACGAUCAGGGCAAAACUUUAUUGCAUUAUGUUACAGAGAAUAAAUGCUGUCAUCAGUUUUCCUGCAUCUGCUCAGAAUAUCAUAACGUGUCACACAACGAAACGUAGGAGUGAUCAAAAGCACUGUACUGGGAGAAAACUGGAUGAUGAGAAACUACAGGGAGCUCUAAACUCAACUGUUGAUAUACGAACUAUGUGUGUGUGUAUGUACAUGUGUGCGCGUGUGUGUUUGUGUGUGUGUGUGUGAAUGAAGACCUUCACUAUUAAUCGAACUAGAGACGUAACGGAAAUAUUCUGACAACCAAUGCCAAAAAGAACGGCUUGAAGAAGGCAAAGAAGGUGUUUUCAGAGCUGAGGUAUCCUACUGAAUCGAGGAUGAUGUGGUCUUUCUCAGAUGAAAAGAACUUCUGCCAGGACAAGAUGGACAACAACCAGAACAAUAGAUGGCUUGCCUACAAUUCAUGUGAUGUCCCACCUAACAUGAAAACCUAUCUUGCUCAAACUGUGAAAGUCUUAAGGUAUGUCUAUUGUCAAGAUGACGUCAUGCUGCCCCACAACAUUCAACAUUGCAUUAGAUAUAUCUAGCUAUAUAAUUUAUCUAUGCCUAUAUAGCUAGAUUGACCUUCAUACGGGCAUGAAGGGAUAAAAAUCCCAUUGUGGUUCAUCCAAUGAUGCAGUAUCACCUGAUAAAAGGAAUCAAUGAUGAUGAUCAACCGGAUGCCCACAGAUAAUACGGACUAUACUGUACUAAUCCCAAGGAUACGGACUCUGAUGUUAAAAUCAAGUGAUUUGUGAAAACGUACGUAGCGACGUAUUAAAUAUUUAUAAUUUCCAUUCUAAAAUUAUGGUUAUUUUUAUAUUUAUCCUACAUUAUAUCGGUAUAACCAUGGGGCAAGCCUGAAAAACUGAUUUACUAGUCAAUAUCAUUAGACGGUAGACGGCAUAAUGAAAAAAGGUGCAUUACUUACAUAACCCUUACGUUACCAUAAACGAAUUUAAAAGUCAUACAUACACACACACAUAUAUAUUUGUCUGACACCAAGUAUAUGAAUUUCCUGCCGCUGUAAUGUCAUUCGCUUUCUUACUCUCUUUACAUUUUACCACGUCUUAAACAUGCUAAAUCUUAAAGUAGUUUUCCAGAAACACGCUUAUAUUUCUACGCUAUUUUGAAAUUUGGUUCCUACAUCUGGAACUGAAACAUCUUUUAACUGUUGCUACAGAUGUCAUUCUGUAUCUUAUAUUUUUUUAAAAUUAUUUUUAUUACUUUGCUGUUGCUGUUUUUCCUUUCUUGUUACUAGCAUAUAUUUACGUGAUUAUGAUAUAUCAAUUAGAAUGACAUGAUUAUUUUUUUAAUUGAAAACUGUUGUAUAUAUAAACAUUCAGAAUGUUAAUGUAUGCAGUCGGUUUCACUUUUAAUUGUAAUGUCCCGCGGAAAACUUUUGUCAUAAAGAUUUCAUAGCACUUAUUUAUUCUAGUAUAUUUAUAAUGUUAUGUUUUUUUGCAUGUUUCUUUCCUUGAACUACGAUUGCAUGCAUUGUGUGUACGCGCGUAUGUGUGUAUGUAUGUAUGUAUAUAUGUGUGUAUGUAUGUAUGUAUGUAUGUAUGUAUGUAUGUAUGUAUGUAUGUAUGUAUGUAUGUAUGUAUGUGUAUGUAUGUAUGUAUGUAUCUAUGUAUGUAUGAAUGUAUGUAUGUAUGUAUGUAUGUAUGCACCUAUGUAUGUAUGCAUGCAUGUAUGUAUGUAUGUAUGUAUGUGUGUAUGUAUGUAUGUAUGUAUGUAUGUAUGUAUGUAUGUAUGUAUGUAUGUAUGUAUGUAUGGAAGCAUGCAUUUACGUAUGUAUGUGUUUAAGGUUUUACUUUGCAGACAACAAGCCUGUCGCUAACAAAGUGACAAGACUCUUUUGUUGAAGUUUUGUCAUUAUUGAAACGCUUGGGUUUUGUGAAUCGGUGAAUUGAUUGGUUGUAUUUGUUCGAUUUCACAUACAUACAUACAUACAUACAUACAUACAUACAUACAUACAUACAUACAUACAUACAUACAUAUAUGUGUGUGUAUGUUUCUUCCUUUUUAGUUUGUCGAUCAAUAGAUUUGGUACAGUGUAUAAUGUGACUUAUUACAGUGCGUAUCUCGGAAUAUUUCUGUUCUCAACUCAAAUCCGCUUAGUAUUAUUGCCUCCUUGUGGUAAGAGACUCUGCCUUCGAGACUGCAUUUAAGUCGCUGUGUUUCUAAAACCAGAAAGCUGCAUCGAUUGGAACAACCUCACGCACAUAUUUAUAUUAAUAAAAGAUACCUGAUCUCAACCUUGAAGGGAAGUAAAGUCAAGGAUGGGAAACUUUCCCUGAAGUCGAUUUACUCACUUCUAACUCUUCCUCUAUAUGUAAAUAUGAAUCUAUAUUCAGAAAGCCUUAUCUUCUCUAUCAGAACCCUGUUGCGAAUAAAACAUUAGAAAACCUGUUUCAAUCGCAUAUUACACAAUAUAUAAUUUGGCGACGAAGAACGUUGCCGAAAAGCCGUAGUUUCUCCUGCAAGAAAAAGCGACGAAAAUUCUCGUAAAAAAUAUCCUUCCGUCUUCAAAGAAACGAAACAAUACAUAGUAUUUUCAUAGAUACUCAUAAAAAACAGAAGGCUGUCUCCCUCUCACUUGACCAAUAAAUGCAGAGUUACAGUUAAGUAACAAAGAAUACAACACCGAAACACGCUGGCCAAUUGUUUGAAUCUACAUCUUGAUGGUUCAGGAUGUUUUUCUUUUUUUAAAGACAUAGAGAAUACAGUGAAAGACAGAAAAGGUACCAGUGAUGUACUGGGAUCAAUAGAAGGGGCAUCUGUAUCGAACUUGACGAUGAGCUACGACUG
rnacentral:lncRNA from 1 species